rnacentral:lncRNA from 1 species
CGCUAACCCCCCCUACCCUAACCUCCCCUCCCCUCCCCUAACCUCACCCCCCCCUACACUCCCCUCCCAACCCCCCAACCCACCUUCCUUUUUUUUCAACCAUUUUUUUUUUUUUUUUUACCAAAUUUUUUUUUUUUUUUUUUUUUUUUUAUAUUUUUUUUUUUUUUUUUGACCCGCAUGGAGGCGUUUAGCAACCCGAAAUAGCCAAAGUCACUCCUGCCGUUCACCCCGCGGAGACUUAAAAAAAAAAAAUGAAAAAAAAAAAAAAAAAAAAAAAAAAAAUCCUUGGUUAGGAGAUGGGGACAGAGGGAAUCUCUUCGAUCCGUUCGUGCGCGUCGCUAAUCGCAUGCCGAGAAGCGUUUAGCAACCCGAAAAUAGCCAAAGUUACUCCUGCCGUUCACCCGCGGUGACUUAAAAAAAAUAAAAAUGAAAAAAAAAAAAAAAAAAAAAAAAAAAAAAAAAAAAAAAAAAACAACGUCCGGCAUGGGUUGGAGAGAAAAAAAAUGAAAAAGAGGGGAAAAAAAAAAAAAAAAAAAACACCCGUUCCGGGGUGCCAGAAGAAAACGGUUAAGCCCUCAAGAGGAGAUGCGGGGAGCGAAGAGCACGGACUAAGCGAGUGCCCGGGUCGCCGCCGUCCGCGGGACGGGCCCUUGCCGGCGGUGGCGGGGUGGCCGCGGCUUUCCCCGUCGGCCCGCCUCGGCACUUAGGAAAAUGAUGCGCGACAGCCGCCGGAGAGACGGUCGCGCUCGAGCCUCGCCGGGGCCUCGCCGGGUGGGUGGGUCCGAGGCGGCCGGCCCGCUUCGGCACUUAGGAAUUACGCGCGAAGACGACCGACGACCGGCGGGAGACGGUCACGCUCGAGCCCCUGGGGCGGGACUCGGCGGAUCCGGCGAUCCGUGCCGCUCGGGUCCCGGGGACCGGAGUCGGCGGCACGACCGCUGCCCGCGAAGGCUCGGGCGCCGGGCGGGAGAUAACUUCUGGCAGCGCGAAGGGUCCCGUCCAGACGACAGGACGGACCGUUCGGGCACGUAGUCGGAGCGUCCGGGCCGCCGCGA